CUUUAAUCCUGGAAGUUAAAAACUUAUUUUACAUUUUCCUCUUCUCUCUGGCAGCACGUCUGAAGUGUUAAUAUUUUAUAAAGAUGUCUGGCUUACAUCUCGGCUGUACUGUCACAAGACCCAACCACCAUCUGUCUACCGACUGCUUAUUACACCAACUACACCAAUCUGUUAACUGGGGACUAUGGCUAUAUCGUGACGGACUUCGGCAAAGAAUUGCUUGUUGAAAUCUCUAAAACAACAAAUCUUCGUUUAGUCCUGGACUUCAAAAAUUUGAAGUCUUACGAGAUCAAAGCUAAUGUCUGCAGAGAAGCACGACUCCCGCCAAGCAGAAUUCAGACCAGAUGUCUGCCACCAUAUUCCAAGCUUAUCCCUACUCUUUCUGGCUAUGUUGGUAACGCUCAAGUCUCUUACGGAGCCGUGUAUGUUCAAACCUGGGAGGUGGCCACAGAGUUUGACAUUGUCUACAGAGAGUCGUUUACAGUCCAGAGUGGACAGCCCUAUUGGUUGACCAUGUCCCAAGAAUUAGGAUAUCAUGGAACAAACAAUAUUUAUGUUUACACUAACCCCAAAGCCGGAGCAGCAGAUCUUUGGGCUUUCCAAAUUCCGCCAACCUGUGAAUCCGAGGAUCUUGGGGGUCCUAUCGUGAUUGGAUAGAUAUAGAAUCCUUGAGUCCUGGACAAAGAUGAGGCCAAUCAUUGGAUAAUUCUUUACGAGUACACUUCUCAAUUACUUGACAAAAAAAUCUGCGAUUCUCAUUUAAAAUCCUUCUUUGUUUUCGCUCAUAAAUAACUAUGUACUAUAAACAAAAAAUCUUUUAUUUUAUA